rnacentral:rRNA from 1 species
GAUAAACGCUAGCGGCAGGCUUAACACAUGCAAGUCGAGGGGCAGCAUAGAUUGUAGCAAUACAAUUGGUGGCGACCGGCGCACGGGUGCGUAACGCGUAUGCAACCUACCCGUCACAGGGGGAUAAUCCGGAGAAAUCUGGUCUAAUACCCCAUAACAUAUGGAUCGGCAUCGGUUCAUGUUGAAAUUUUCGGAGGUGACGGAUGGGCAUGCGUAGCAUUAGCUUGUUGGUGAGGUAACGGCUCACCAAGGCGACGAUGCUUAGGGGGACUGAGAGGUUUUCCCACCACACUGGUACUGAGUCGCGGGCCAGACUCCUACGAGAGGCAGCAGUGAGGAAUAUUUGUCGAGGGCGCAAGCCUGAACCAGCCAUGCCGCGUGCAGGAUGACUGCACUAUGAGUUGUAAACUGCUUUUGUGCGAGGGUAAAGUGGGUUACGUGUAACCUUUUGGAAGUAUCGUACGAAUAAGGAUCGGCUAACGCCGUGCCAGCCGCCGCCGUAA